UGCAGUUUGUGAUGUCACGGCGCGGGAAAACUCUUCUCAAUGUGGAUGGAUACACUUUCUGUGCGCAAAUAAGAAAUGGGCUUAAAACUAGAUGGACUUGCUCCACACACAACAACAAGCAAUGUCGGGCAUCUGUCUCUACUUGGAAUAAUCAAAUUAUUAGAAUAAAUAACACUCAUCGACAUUAGAUCUUCAAUAAAGUUUUGAUUCUAGCUUCAACGCAACGAACUUAAAACUUUUGAAAACCCAAAGAGGUUGCUUGAAAAUAGUAAAAGAUGGGUACGCUUAUGUACAUAAAAGAACUAAUAAAGAUGGUUCUGAAUGCUGGAGGUGUACUAACAAAGUAAAGUGCAAUGGUAUCCUCAAACUACGCAGAAUUGGCGUUGAGUUGUUUAAGGUCCUCGGUGAGACUCUGCAUAAACAUGAGCCUAAUGACAGCUUAUAAAAUAAAUAAAUAUAUAGGGACAGAUCACACAGAUUGAGUUAGCACCAAAGUAAGUUCGACAUUUAAUGGACACUAACUCAACGAUAAUAUAUUCUAUAACAUAAAUAAACAUUCAAGACACAGGUCAAUCUGCAAAAGUUCAUUUUCUAUCUUGAUCUGACCGGGGAUCGAACGUGGGACCUCUUUGCAAAUUCUACUAGUCUAGCAGUCGUGAUAACCAUUAGGUCACGGAGAUCGUAAAAAUGUGUGUUACUGGAAGAAAUAUGACAUUUAGCUGCAUUAUAAGAGCGUUCUAGAGGUUACACGAUUGAGGUAAAUGACAUUUUCAUUAUUGAUUUUCCAAUUUGUAUUGAUUAUUGAUUUUGCAAUUGAAGUGUUUAAUAUAAAAAUAUUACAGAAUAAA